UUGUUUAAUUGUGAUGUUGGUUGUUUUGGUUUAUUUGCCUUUUGCAUCAUGCUUAACGGAGUUUUUUAAAGUAUGUUUUUGUACCGAAAGGUUUUGAUCUUAGAUUUAGUUGUUUAGAAGUGUUGUUUGGUCUGGGUAAGGUCUUGUAAACUAAAUUUAUGUGGUGAUAAGUGAGUCGUAAAGCUUUAUAAUUGUUUGGUUGUUUAGAAUUUAGUGGGAUGUAGGUGGCUAUUAGGUCAUUUAUAUUUUUAUACAUUUGGUGAUGUGUGGUUUUUGAUAAGGUUAGAGGUACCUAGUUUUUGUUAUAUUGUUGUAAAUAUGGUUUUGUUGGUUUAUUGGUAUGUUAAUUGUUUGAACAACUGUUUUGCUAUAUUUGGUUAUUAUAUUAUCGUUGAAUAAGUAAUUUUAUUAUGCUAUUUAUUUCUUGAGUUCUUUCCGUCUGUUUAUUAAAAACAUUUCUAAUUUUAAUUGUAGUUAGUAGUGCCUGCCCAAUGUUGGUUAAUUAAUGGCCGCAGUAUAUUGACUGUGCAAAGGUAGCAUAAUUAAUUGCCUUUUAAUUGGAGGCUUGUU
rnacentral:rRNA from 1 species